rnacentral:rRNA from 1 species
CUGCUCAAUGAUAAUUAAAUUAAAUAGCUGCAAUAUUUUAAUUGUACAAAGGUAGCAUAAUCAUUUGUUUUUUAAUUGAAAACUUGUAUGAAAGAUUGAAUGAAAUAUUAACUGUCUCAAAAUUAAUUAAAUAAAUUUAAUAUUUAAGUUAAAAAUCUUAAAUAAUUAAAAUAGACGAUAAGACCCUAUAGAAUUUAAAUUAUUUUAAAUUAAUUUAUUUUUAAUUUAAAAUAAUUAAAUUAAUUUAUAUAAUUUUAAUUGGGGGGAUUAUAAAAUUAAAAAAACUUUUAUUUUUAAAAACAUAAAUUUAUGAAAAUUUUUAAUGAAUUAUUUAUUAUAAUUAUAAGAAUAAAUUACCUUAGGGAUAACAGCAUAAUUUUUUUUUAUAGUUCAUAUUGAAAAAAAAGUUUAUGACCUCGAUGUUGAAUUAAAAUUAAUUUUUAAUGAAAAUAUUAAAAAAUU